rnacentral:rRNA from 2 species
UACAGAGGUCUCAACCGUUGUUCGGAUUCAUUGGGCGUAAAGGGUGCGUAGGCGGUCGUGCAAGUCGGAUGUGAAAUCUCAGGGCUCAACCCUGAAACUGCAUUCGAUACUGCGCGGCUAGAGUGCUGGAGGGGAGACUGGAAUUUACGGUGUAGCAGUGAAAUGCGUAGAUAUCGUAAGGAAGACCAGUGGCGAAGGCGAGUCUCUGGACAGCAACUGACGCUGAGGCACGAAGGCCAGGGGAGCAAACGGG